rnacentral:rRNA from 1 species
UACGGGGGGGGUAAGCGUUGUUCGGAAUUACUGGGCGUAAAGGGCUCGUAGGCGGCCAACUAAGUCAGACGUGAAAUCCCUCAGCUUAACUGGGGAACUGCGUCUGAUACUGGAUGGCUUGGAUCCGGGAGAGGGAUGCGGAAUUCCAGGUGUAGCGGUGAAAUGCGUAGAUAUCUGGAGGAACACCGGUGGCGAAGGCGGCGUCCUGGACCAACACUGACACUGAUGAGCGAAAGCCAGGGGAGCAAACGGG